GGAAUUAGAUUUGUGCCAAAAAUAAUUAAACAAAAAUAAAUAAAUUGCAAACAAAAAAUAAAAAUUUGAGAGAUAUAAUCUUACUCAAGCAAAAAAAUAAUACUUGCAAUCAAAAUAUUUGUGUGACUGUGUAAAUAUUUAGCCUUUUACUUUUCCAAUCAUCACUUCUUUUGUUUACAGUUCUGUCUUUUUUCCCUCACUGAUCAGAAUUUUGUUUUCAAUGCCAGCUUUCUCAUUUGCGCUGCCUGACAUUUUGCUUGCGAUUUUUGGCACAAACCUCUCGGGUGGGCGGGCCUUGUGAGGAAUGCGUACUCAUUGGCUGAAUAGUUUUUGAGUGACACCCCGUGCCCCGGAUGUUGUUCUGUACAGCGGGGGAAUUCGGAUGUAUGGGAUGUACUGUGGUAAGCUACUUUAACGUAAAGAAGUCGUAUGGAGCUUCUUCUCCAAGAUUGCAGCACUGAUGGUGACCAAGAUGAUAGGGUGGUGGUGUCAGACAUCCCUUGCCCCCUGUCUGACCAUAACUUUGGUAUCCUUCAGGGACUAAUAGAUCCCAUCACAUCAACUCUGUGUGAUCAGGAUCUCUAUAUUCAGACACUUGAGCUUGUGAGGAAACUGAGCGAAGUCUAAAAUUCAACAACUGAAAUGUUGAACUAUCUGCCAUUCAGAAGAAGCUUGCUGAAAUGCUUCUAUGUGGAAUGAAAUGUACACACAUCUAAUAUUUACCCGUGUGAAGAAAUGUUGUGUUUACAUUUAUAUGUAAUUAAUAAUAAAAUGUUUCGUCCUGAAUUUUUCUGGGUCACCCAGCAAAGACUUAGUCUACACAAAAAAAAAAAAAAAAAAAAAAAGAGAUUCUGCUUACAGUUCUGGUCAACUAUAAAGCCCAGCUCUUUCAUUAAUUCUCUAUUAAGUUCAUUGCAAAGUACAUUUUAGACCUUUAAAAUAUUAUAUUUUGUAGGAACUUACUGGUUUGCAUGAUUCCAAAUUGUUUCAAGUACUGUCAACUUUCAAUAUUUUAUUUGGAAGUAAAUUGUUGUUCGUUCAGUACCUUAUUUUGUAUGCAAAGUGAUGAAACUGCAAUAGCAAGUCCAUAUAUUGUGUUUUGUGUUGAAAUUGACUAAAUACUCUAUCCAGCUACACAUGAACCUGUAGGGUACUGCUGAAAAUAGACUUGGAAUUAAAGACAAUUCAUGAAUUGCACAUUUUUUUAUUUUGCUAUUAAAUAUAUUAAACACA